ACACUCUCCUCUACCUAGUCCUGGGCAGCGAGGAUGAGGCUAAGGCAGGUUAUUACCUACUGUUUGCCCUGGGGCCUCAUGAUCUCUUUUCUUAGGGAGCAGCUGGACGUUACCCCUCUGAAUCUUUGAUGCGCCCAUCCUGACUCUUGCCCAUCCUGACCACACAGUAUGCAACUUCAGAAGUGCCUGGUAGGAAUCUCUCACUCCAAACCCUUCUAUCCUCAGCUGCCUUUGGUUAGCGGGACACACACACACACACACACACACACACACACACACACACACACCUACUUCCUGCCCAACCUUGCCCCAAGAGUCAUAAGUCCAAAUCCUAGCCUGGUCCAAUAUUGUUCGGGAACUCCACUCAGGCAAGGCUUUUUCUGGACCCCUUCAUAGGUUUGUGGACACUGAGUGGCCCUGUCUGUGUGUCAGUGGCUGAACAGGGCCGCAGUGCCCUGAAACAGAUGUAUCACUUGAACCUGUACAGACACUGGGGUAGGGCAUAGGGAUAUCAAGAUGUGUAGGCAACAUUGCUGAACCCUGAAGUCCCUAGGACCCAGCCACAACUGGACCAGAAGCUUCUCAAGCCUUCCAAGAGGAGGAAACCUCCUCCUGAGAGGAGUCAGAGAGGUCUGGGACCAGCAAGUGUCCCUUAGCCUCCUGUCCUGCCCCGACAUCUGGAACCUCUAGCACUGUUCUCCUCAUCCUCUUCCCAACCCAAGACUUCUGGAUAUCUUCGAAGUCCCUUCAUGGCCACUGUGGGGCACAGCUGUCCCCGGCUAGAUGGUCUUCCCAGCAGAUGUUUUCUCUAAGGCUGAACAGUCAACAUCCGUGAGUAACAAGGGUAAGUAAGCUCCUUCAAGGACACAGCUCACGGCCAUCCCCGUACCUGCACACAAAGGCACACACAAGCAUGUGCUCAUACCCGUGAACAUACACACACACACAAGUACCUUGAUCAUCCCCCACCCUGUGAUAUGGGUUAAGGGACCCCAUUCCUCAUGAAGACAGAAUCCAGGGCAGCAGAGGUGGAUGCAGCAGGGACCUGGUUGGACUUCCUGCUCUCAUCUGCCCACAGACUUGCCAUCUGUGUGGACGCAGGAGAAAGGGUAUAGGCUUCUGCCCCUUGACUGGCCGAGCAGCAGGACCUCCCGCCCAGCCCCUGGCCCAGGUGCUUUCGUCAAAUCUCUAGACAGCUGCCUGCUACCCAACUUUGCACAGAUGUCUUUUGCUGCCUGGUCCUAGCUCCUGGCUGAUGCCCAGGUACCCUGUCCAACUCCAGGUCUAUGCUAUGGGUUGAAACCAGGGGUCCAGAGCAGUCCUUUGACAGAGAUCAGAGGGAGGGAAAGAGAAGAGCCUUUCCACAUCCCUUUUUAAUUAUCUGGCUUCACCCUUCUCUCAGUGGCAGUGUGGGGAGGGAGGGGUAAGGCUCCACCAAGCUGAAGGUGGCUGGAGUCCUUUCUUGGUGUCAGCAUGGGACAAGGAAGGAAGGAAGGAGGGACCCCCUCAAGACUAGGCACUGCAGACUUCAGAAAGCCUCUGCCUACUGAUGCUUAAAGCCUAGUACCCUCAGGCUGAGCUGACAUAAGAAUGAGCCGCCAGCAGGAGGGAGGACACCUGGCCCUCCCACCGGCCGUCUGCUGGCUGAAUGACUUCCGGUCACCCCCACUGCCAGUCUCUGGACACAGUAGGGCUGGCGAUGAUGGUCUCUGGAGCUGAGAGCUGAGACUGGAGUCUCCAUCUACCCCAUAAGGGCACAAUGAUGCACAGUGAUCUGGGGGCUGAGACUGAAGGAGAACAUCAAGGUGAGGGGAGAGACAGGGAGAUCCUGGGGAAGCUGGGAAAGAUGGAGACUCUAAGGCAGGGCUGCAGUUUCAUUUCUCACAAAGGUAAUCUCAUUUGGCUUCCAUAGCGGCCCUGGAAGGUGGGGGACCUGCCUCAGACCACUGAGCUAGCUAGUAACAGAGACAGGCUAGGACAUGGAAGUGGGACUGGAGCCAAGGUGUGUCGCCAUGAGAUACUGAGUUGUUCUCCCCAGGGCCCAGCGCUCCCCUCCCUUUUCAGCAGUCUUCAUUCCCAAGCCACAGGAACAAGUUCUCUCUGUGCCACCCCCCCCCCCUUCCUUCCUUCCUUCCUUCCUUCCUCUUCCGUCUGGCAGGCUGUGUGCUACAUCCUUUUCCCUGGAACAAGGCAAGGCAGCAUGUUCGUACAGGGCCCCCACACACCAGACCCUCCUCCCUCAUCUCUCCUCCCUCCUCCUUCCUGCCUCCUGCCUCGGCUCCUCCAGUCCAGCCUCUAAGGAAGCCUGGUAUUUUUCCAUGGAAUCUGUGCAGUCUUGAUGAUCUCUGUACCCCAGGCAUUUCCCACUGCCCACCUGACUGUAGACAAGGACACAGGUUUGUGGGAGUCUGUCCUCAAGAGACCUGUGUUCCUCCCUGGUCCCAGCCAUGAUUCAUAAGGGGGACGGAGGGCCAGAAACCUAUCCAAGUCACACAAUGAUAGAGGCUAGGAAUUGGGCUAGAGGUCAGACGGAGACCUCCAGGCUCCUAGAGUCCUUAUGUAAGACACUCCCUUGUAUUAUGGGAACAUGAGUAAGUCUCUCUAAGUCCCCACCCCUUCCCUGGCCUCAUUUUCCCCACCUGAUGGCCCUCUGUUGUGCUUCUAGCUUGGUUACUUCUGCAACUUGUCAGCGCCAGCCAGUGGGUGGCCUUGCUUAGAGCCUCCGAACUUGGCAAAGAGCACCCAGCACUUCCUGGGGAUUCUUCUUGCAGAAAACAGGCAGUCCAUGUAAUUGUCAUUGCUCAAGCUAGAAUAGUCUAGAACAAGGAAGGCGAAGCCAUGCAGGCAUUGUGGGUACAGAGCUCAGCACUCACACACUAGGGGGCCAGCGUAAGUGUAGAAUCAAGAGACAGGAGCUAGACCUGAGGAAGCCCCUUUUGGGUCCAUGUCAGAUAGCCUGUCUGUGCCUAGCCUAAGCCUCCAUAGCGCUGUGGACAGGAACUUUUGCAUCUCCCUGAGACUGUGUGUGACUUCAUGGCACUCAUUCAGCACCUUGGUCUCAACUAUACAACAGGCAGACUGUACUAAAAGGCCACUAGGGCACCUCCUCCUCUUCCUCCUCCUCCUCCCCUUCCUCCUCCUCUUCCUCUUCCUUGUCUUCUUCUUCUUCUUCUUCUUCUUCUUCUUCUUCUUCUUCUUCUUCUUCUUCUUCUUCUUCUUCUUCUUCUUCUUCUUCUUCUUCUUCUUCUUCUUCCUCCUCCUCCUCCUCCUCCUCUUCCUCCUCUUCCUCCUCCUCUUUCUUCUUCAUGAAGGCUGAGAAAGCACUGGGUGGACCUGUGGCUACAAGGAUCCUUCUGACCAACUGUCCACCCUCCUGUUCAGUUGACAAAUGCCAACUCUAUGUUAAAGUGAGAAAGCCUUGACUCCCUAUAGCUGUCCAUAUUCUGUGCCUCUAGGAAGGGUCUCCAGGCACAGCGUGCCUUGGUCUAUCUUGUGUGCAUCUGCACAGAGUCUCUGAGAUGAGUGGUCAAUCUUGGUAUCUGCACAGGUCUGGAAAUGUGUUUUGUGUGCAACCAUAUAUGUCACAGUCGUAGCCCCCUUUAGCUUUUCCUAGUGUACCUGCUUCCAGCCAUCACUGGAAUGCAGGAGCCAACAGCCAGACAUAAAGAGGGACUGCCAGAUGUGUGAGGGUGCUACUCCAGGCCAAGGACAUGGCCAUGUGGGUUUUGUCCAUGUGGGGGCAGAACAUGGAUGGUAGCAGAGACCAGGUAUCAAGGUGAGUCAGGUCUCCCUUAUUCUAGCCAGGACACCAGCCUUGAGCCAGGGCCAUUGUACCCAGGACCUCCUCAGCCUGGGGAGGACAUGGAGGGUAGAGAGGGUAGAAAAGAAUCAGGAUAUGGGGAGAUGAUUUGGUGGCUGGUGUUCUGGAUGUGUGAGCUGUCCCUGCUUUGGAGAGAUGGCCCAGGAAUUUGGGCUACCAAAGGGACAAGAAUGAAGACUAUUAGGGUUCCCUAUAUCCAGGUAGCCAGUGCUGAGCUGGGGGUAGGGGCAGAGUUACGAACCAGGAAUGAGUAAGAGCCAUGGGAGGCUGGGCUGAGGUGGGAGGCUGGCAGCCACCCCUCAUCUCUGCUCCACUGGGGCCCUAGCCAGUCUGAGUGCCCACCUACCAACUCCCUGUGCGCCCACUGGGCUGGAUCAUACAGGAGCAGUUCUCCAUCAGGGGUGGGGUUGGGGGGGCUACUGCCAGCUGGCCGAUGAGACACCCCCAGAGCUGAGAGUUCAGAUGCCCAUGCCAGUUAGAGGGUGGCGUUCAAGGCUGCCACCCCCACCCUGGCGGCUGUGUUUUCCUGCUGUUCUCUGCAAUUCCAUUUAAAUACCUCCCAGAGCCAGCCCAGCAGCAGCCUGCCUGCUUCCGGCACCAUAAAAGGAGAGAGGCUGAGAAUAGCUGAGCCAUGACGCAGCAAGGAGCUUCCCCACGCAGGAAGGCUCUGUGCGCUGAGCCUGCCACCACCCAGGGCCCACCCUGCCCUACACCUGCUCAGCCCCUGCCCUGAAGGAGAGGUGGGGACCAGAGUCCCUGGCUGGAGACUGGUGACAUUGUCCCUGCCAUUGGUGGCUUUGUGACUCUUAAACCAGACCUGCACAAAGAUCUUGUAUCAGGAACAGCGUUCAGGCUGAAGGGUUCGAGCUCUGGGCUGGGCGUACACCAGCGCCAAGAUGCAGACAGGUAAGAAUGCUUAGAAUUCCUGUGCCUGACAUUUCUCAUUCUGUCACAAAGGGGAGUGGGGUACCAAUAGGGAUGGAGCACAGUGCCCUGAAAGAGUUCAGAUUCACACAGAGAACCAGGAAGGGCUUCCUAGAGGUGGAGCCUGUGGGUAGAAGGCAAAGAGCACAGGUUGAGCAGGGGAGGCCAGUGCUGUGUCCCCUCCACUCUUUUGGCUCCCUAAUGGCCUUCAAGCGUGGUUACCCUCCUCUGGCUGGUGACUCCUCCGUUUUCUCUCUGGGCGGGGAGGGUGUUGGAUCUGGACCUCUUUCUUUCUCCGAUGUCUCCUCCUACCAGAGGCAGCUCAUCUGAGUUCUCAAGCCUUUGCCCUGGGCUUUGAAACUGACAACCAGCUCCCAGUGAGUGACCUGUGGAGCUGCAGACAUGUGGAGAUCCAAGUUGUCUCCCCACUUCCUGUAGUUCUCUAGCUAAGGCAAGCAGGUCUCUACCAUUGAUGGAUCUCACAGGUACCAGGCACGACUCUCGGUCCCUCGACCCACUGGAAAAGGUUGUGCAUGGGUUCAGGGUCUGCCCCAAACUGCCCAGUUGAGCAACCCCCCCCCCCCACACACACACACAUCUAGCCCUUUCUCUGUCCAAGGACAGGGGAGGAGCCCAGGUUGUGUGGACUUUCUUUUCUUUUUUUUUUUGUUUUUUUUUUUGUUUUUUGUUUUUUGUUUUUUGAGACAGGGUUUUUCUCUGUAUAGCCCUGGCUGUCCUGGAACUCACUCUGUAGAACAGGCUGGCCUCGAACUCAGAAAUCUGCCUGCCUCCGCCUCUCAAGUGCUGGGAUUAAAGGCUUGCGCCACCACGCCCGUCUGUGUGGACUUUCUAAGAAAAAAAAAAGUGAGCAGACACUGUAGGGAUCAGAUGACCAACACAACCACUUCUCAGCCGUGAGCUCCAUCAUGGACACUGUGACCACCACAGCUGCUACCACAUCCUCACCAUUAUCAUCCCCACCAUUGCCACAUCUCCAAGCAUCACCCAUCAGCCCAUGACCACGGGCAGGACCCCACUUUACCUCUCCAUUUUGACCCCUACACAAACAUCCCCAGUUUCACCCCACCCUGAUCUCCAUACUGCCAACUCCAGCAAUGUCACCACUGUCAUCCCUACCAUUGCUCCACUGUCCAUAUCAGUGUUGCCAAUGUCACCAUCCACACACACACACCUCUCCACCCCCUGCCACCUUUGCAAUCAUGAUCCUUAGUUCCAGGAGGCUUCCCUUCUGUCAGCAUAAAGAGAGACAGGGUAGGUCAGGUCCUGUCUAUGCUCUUGGUUGUAUCCUUAGGGAGAUUUUAAUGGGACUCCCUGGCUGGUGAGAAAGAUGGAAUCCCAAUCCAGAUCUUUGGUUCCUGAAACAUGACAGCAAAGUCCUAGUCCAUCCCCAGAGCUGGGCUGAGAACAGCUAGUAGUUUCAAAAGGCUUAAAAACUUGCCCUUAAAGGAUCAUGACUAAUGGAUCUUUUAAAAUGGAUCUAUUGUUGUUGAUGAACUGGGAAGACACUCCAACCACUAAAGAAGACACGCUCUUACUAAGAACACCUGAGCUCAGAGCCUGAUGAGUUUUCGGCUUUUGCUCAAGUACCAUUCAGUGUUCUACCAUCUGGCUUCAAUCCUCACCUGUGAAGUAGCACAGUGACAACUUCGAGCCUGCAGAACUGUGGGAGCUGGUCCCCAUGGCAGUGGGUACCAAGGAGAACAAGGAGAGUAGACAUAUUAGCAUCUUCCUCCUCCUCUUCCUCCUCCCCCUCCCUCCCCCCCUCCCCCCCCUCCUCGUUCCACCUUGGCAGUUACAGCACUUAGGAUCUCAGGCAACUUUGUGUUGGCCCAGGUUUGACUUCUGUUAAGAAAGUUCCAGGUCACCAAGUCUCCCCAGGCCCAGGAAGGUGCAUAACACUGGCAAGCUUAUGGAAGGGUGAGGCAGUGAGCACCACCUCAGGGAUCUGUGGACCGUGCUUCUUCCUGGGGCCCCUUCAUCUGUCCCCACGUGCAGGACCCCGACCUAGAGAUGCUCCCCACCACGAGUAAUGCUAGUGUCUCCCAGAUAAUUAUCAUGUCAAGACUAGGAGGGACUUGUCUGUCUUGCCUAUAUGACUAGUACCAGGGGUAUGUUCGGUGAACAUGGUAAGGACCCCUGUAGCUUCCACCAGAGGUGGAUGUAGGUGUCAUCACAGCUACCAGCAUCCCUCAGGGGCUGUAGCAGCAGUAGCCUCUGUGCCCAACAGGGAAUGCAAGGCCACCUAACUUGACCAGAUGUUGCCCUAGCCUCCUGGCUGGGCCCAACUUCCAGGCUUGUGAGGGAGCAGGGAAGCCAGGACAGAGGGUGGGCACAGCAGCUCAGCCUUAUGAAACUCAUGUUGCCAAGCCUUCAAAAGAUGAGGCCUUUUGUUUCCCCGUUUCUAAUUAAAAAGAAUUAGUCAGUGGAGUGACACGUUUACGAGGAGAGCCAAGUGACACUGCUGCCCCGCUUUAUUAAUAAAAUGAGAGGGGAGCAGAUUCCCACGCUGCCAGAGCCUGGCACGGAGUCUCCUUCCCCCAGCAUAAUGGUUUGGAAGCCCAAGCUGUUUCCCAAGUUAACCAACUCCUUCAUAGGCCAUUCUUCUGCCCCCUCCCCUUUCUGCUUUCCCUCCUACCCUCCGUGUCUACCUUUCAUGGAAUGGGAGAAGAAAAUAAAUGUGUGUGGGCUCCCCACAGGGCCUUCCACAUCUCUAAGGAGAAGAGGCACACAGGGGGUGGGAAAUAUAGCCAGAACUAGACUCUGGCCCCAGGCAUGGACAUUCAUCCAGGGAGAGUCUACCACACUCAGCACCAUCCCAAGAUAGGGACCCAGCUCUUGGCUUGACCUGGUCUUGUCCCCUUGUCUGGUUUCAAGUGUCUUCAGUGGCAGUGAGAACGCUAAGCUGUAGCUCCUUUAUAAGUCAUCUCUGUUCAGGUGAAGUCUGAGGACACUUGGGACAGGCAGAGCUUGAGAAAGGACACACAUGGGCCCUCCACCUUGGGCAGAGAAGGAGUGGCCACACCAUGCUAUAGCCCCCAUCAGAGACAACUUCUACCACACACAAAAACCUGUUUUUCCUGCCAACUCAUAUGUGGCACCAGAGCUAGCAGAAGCAGGCAUUUGAGAUGGUUCUAGAAAAAGUGCCACUCCACUCUGAGCCUGACAAUUUUCAUCAAUCUCACCAGUCAGUCAACAUGCUAUUACCUCAAAACAAGAUAUCAUCAUCACCAAUCUGACACUGAUGCUAACACUGAAUACCACUCCCAAAACACCUGUGACAUUUCGAGGCUGAUGCCAACAUUAGCCUCACCACCGGCACCAGCACCGCCACCAAGACCAUCAUCAAUAUCAUCACCACUACUGCUGCCGCCGCCACCACCACCACCACCACCACCAGCAGCACCCUGACUACAUCAUGACCGUCAUCGUCACCAUCAGUGACAUCACCGUUCUCACUGGAAUUACAUCUGUGGUCAUCUUCACAUGAACACAGUGACCAUCACCACCACCGUCGUUACCAGCAUCACCGUUAUCCUCAGCAUUGCCACCAUCACCAAUCCUUGAUACCACCAUGCCCAUUCUCCUCUCACAGACCCUUAUAGACAACAUCACCAUUGUGGCCAUCUUCUCAACACGGGUGUAACAGAUGUCACUAUCACCAACAAGUUUAUCAGCCCCAACUCCCUCAACAGUACUGUCAUAAAAGUCACCAUUACCAUCCUUGUUCACUUUAUUUUAGUUACUCAGUUGCUGUCAUCAUUAACACUAAUUGUGCCUUCAAGAUGUCAUAUUUGUCUACGUUAUCAUCACCACUAUAGUCAUCUUUCCUGCUGUCAUCUUCAUCAAUGCCAAGCCAUUGGCAGUUACCCUGAUCACCUCAUCUGUCCAUUGUCAACCCCACCUUCAAGACAGCCAUUCCCACCCAUCCUUCUCCUCCACCCUAAUUUUCCACUCUUUAGUUAGCUAUCCCCCACGCAGUCUCUGCCCCCACUUACCUCCUGUGAAAUCCAGGAUGGUUAGGACAACUAACUGGGAUGCAGCUCUAUAAUGGCUCACAAAGUGUUAGCCCAGAACUUGGACUAUGUGCUGCUUUGCACUGGGCCUGAGCAGCUAAUGAGACUGGGCAAGCAUUGAGAGUGUCACCACAUGGGGAUGCCCACCUGGGCAACCUGACCAUGGCACUCCCCCUGAGUAGGUAGGGAGGCCAGAAAGACAUAGCCCUGGGGGCAAGUUGGGGCGAUCUCAGAGGCCAUGUGCUCCAGCCAGGCCCCACUCCAGCUGUGGUGUUAACUUGUCUAAGGUCUUCCACUGAGUUCCAGUUUUUACUUAGCAGCUCUUUAUCAAUGGCUUCCUUCUGUGACAGCAUCCUGGGGAAGCCUAGAGGUGAGUUGGCACAUCUUUGCCCAUAAGUGACUCUUCCCUUGUCAGGAAGUGCUGAGAGUUUCAAAAGCCCAAGGGAUGGGAGUGGCAGAUGCCCUGCGAUGGGCACCAGAGAAAGCUAGCUAAUCGGAACCAACCAGAUGCCCCAGGGAGUGAAAGUUAGAGGCUGAGUAGAUCUCCUAAGAGAACAACAGUGGGUUUCCUUCUGUUCAGUCAAAGCUGUCUCAGUGGUCCCUGUUACCCUAAACCAGUACAGGCACCCAGAACUACAGGGGCCUUAGGCUGGACCACUACACAGACUCACUGUGUCCUUGUUUCUGUUGCAAUCCAGAUAUAGGGCCAUAUCCCUCUUCCUAGUCCUCGGAACCACUCUCUGGUCCCCUCCUGGGCAAGGCUCACCUUUAGACUAAGAUGAAAGAGCUGGCGGGUUUAGGUCCUAAAUUAUGUUGACCAAAUGAUCAGAGCUGGCUGGGGCUUUAGUCUGUGCUGAUUGUUGGCUGGGAGAUCUGGUCAUGGUGGGGAGAAGGUAAGAAGGAGAGAGAUGGAAUCAGGAGAGAAAUAAGAAGUCACAGUGCCUCUUAGGAUCCAGUCCCCAAAGCACACCCUUCUGUCAAUCUAUUCAUUAGCUAGAAUGCGCUCACAGAGCAAGGAGAGAAUGGUGUGGGGAGGAGCGUGAGCUGGGCUUCUCUCCAGUGGGAGAAUGUCUAAGAAUCUAGAUGCUCUUAGAUCAGCACAAGCAACAUCCACUGAAGGUGCGAAGUGUGCCCUGCCUCCAAUCUCCUCUCCGCGGUGUGUGUGUGUGUGUGUGUGUGUGUGUGUGUGUGUGUGUGUGUUGUGUACUGGAGAAUUGAACUGAGCUUUCUGAAUGUGAGACCAGUGCUGUACCAAUGAGCCACACUCCCGUGUCCACAGGGCAAUGGAAGGGAACAGUUGGGGAGUGUCAGGGCUGUGGACCUGGGAGCUUGCCUGAGCCUUGCUUGUAUUGCUACUGUGCUAAUGGUAGGACGUGGCACUGUUCCCUCCCGCAUCUGCCCGCUCAGAAGCAGAACAGCUCCUUUGAGUUGAGGUACACUCUAGAAGCAAAUAAAUCAUUGAGGGUAAGGGAAGAGGAGCAGAGGGAGGAGGCAGGUUGAUCUGCCCAGCCUCUUUGAAUGGGAUGGGUUAGCACAUGGCACCAAGCUGCAGCCAAAGAGGCAGAUAGAGAAAAGGCAGGAAGCCACAGAACCUGCUCUGUUCCAGCGUAGAAUGGAUGUUCAGGCCGCAGUACCUUCUAUGUACAGAUUGCAGCAGGUUCCGUGAGUCAGCCUUUAAAAUACCUUCAACCCCCUCACACACUCUGCACUGCUACUUUCCCAGUUGGGACAGGAUAGGCUGGGCUGAUGUCCGCCUGUCAUCGACCAUUCCAGGCCAGCCGAGUGCCCAUGGUCAGACCAGGCUCAGCAAAGCUGUAUUGAGAAGAAUCCAAAGUGAAGUCUCUGCAGGGAGGGAUGGACGGUAUCUGUCUAUAGGGGCACAGAGCCAGGUAAGGACUGCAUAGUACGCAGGGAGGACUUGGUUUUGCCUCUGACACAUCUACAUUGCAUGUACUAGUAAGCAACAGGCAGUUGUAUGCUCACAUGUCACAAGAAGCAACAGCCUCACAGCUGGGCUUAGGCAUAGCCUCUAUUGCCCCCUGUCUUCACUCCUGUGGGCCUGGCACUUGGCACAACUCAACCAAGAGCCAAGUCCCCUUCUUCAGCACCUUGGACAGAGAAACAGCUCUGGACAUUCUGGGGUUAACUAGGCCCUGUGUACCUUUUCUCAUAUAGGGAAAAGUCGGGGCACUAGCUGCUUUCUGAUCAGGGAACAAGAGACCAUGGCAUCAAUCGUUUUUUGGACUGUCGAAAGACAGGUCCUUUCUCUGCUGGGGGCCCAGAGGCACUGUCUCAUAGAAGCCUGAAUUAAAAGAGGGACAGCGAGAAGGAAAGAACAGCCACCUCAAUCCAGGAUAGGUCUGGAAGACCCAGGGCCACCUCCACUCUCUGAUCCCACAGAGUUCUCAUCUGGAAGCAUGGAAGACAGUAGAUCCCUUGGGAGCUUUCUAAGCAUUCCAUGGAUGGAUCUGCCAGACCAUAGCCUGCUCCUCCCAUCCGUGGCCUGCCAGUCUGUGUAGCCCAGGAUCCAUUUACUCUGAGUGUCAGGAAGCCCCUCACCCUCUCUGGGAGAGAGUGAAAGUAUGGUUAUAAGCAUGAGCGUCCACAGUCCAUGCUCCAUGAGUGCUGGGUUACAGGCAUGGGCCUACCUCAAUAGUGCGCAUUGUAUUCAGGGUUAUAGGGAAAGAUCACGGACAUCAACAUAUCUUCCAGUGGUAUCAGAGACCACAGACAUGCUCCUUGGGCAGCAUGGAUCACAGAUAUCAACACAGCCUCUGGUGACUGCAAUGACCCCAGACAACAUGGCCUCAGGUGACAGCACAGGCCAUGCACAUCACCAUGAUCUCCAGUGGCAACAUGGACCAUGGAGACUAGCAUGGUCCUCUGUGGCAGGCAGAGCGGACCAUAAACAUCACCAUAGCCUCUUUUAUUUUUUUCAUAAAGACUUCAUGUGGCUCGAGGUAAGUUUCAAUAGAAACUUGAAUAUUUGUCAGUUCUUACAAUUAAACACAAAAGGCAACUCAUUUCACGGCUUACUUUGAACAACAUAUUGAUGAUUUCAACACCCCAUGUCCUUUACUGUCUUUAUUUAAAAAAAAAACUUGUCAUAAGGCCAAUUUUUUAGUCUCUGAACCCCACAUUGUUUCUUUUUGAAAUUGCUCUUCAUCCUUAAAUACCAUCUGGGCCCUGACCACUGGGCUCACUUUUUAAUUUCAUUCUUAAUUCUUCCACCUGGAGCGUGAAUCACGUUCCUUUUUCUCUUAUUAAAUCAACCACCUACACCCUGGACAGCAGCAAAGAGAACUGGACUUCUAUUUAAGGAACAUUUGCACCUAACUUGGGCCACUUAUACCUCAAGCUCCAUUGAAUACUUUUAGCUCUAGGUGUACCAUCAAAACAACCAUUUCCCUAUGAUCCAGAGCCAACCAUGAAAACUAAUCAAGGUACCCUGGAGUGUGCCAAGAUUCCUUGAAAUCUCAAAAUCUUUGCAGCCGAAGAUUCUUUACAGAAAAGAUGAAUGCCUGGCCAACAAAAAUCCUAAAAUGCACGGAAACAUGAAGAAAGUAAGAAGUACAAUAAAAAUUUCAAGAACACUAGUGCCAUGGGGGAACAAAAGCUCAAUUCAGUGACUAUACUUCCUGUAUUCAGGCAGGAAGUAGUUUGCAGAGAAAACAAAACAGAAUAAAUGAGUCACUAAGGUCCUUUAAAUAGAUGCUGAACAUGUUAAGUAGUACAUUGUGUGCAUGCAAAUGCUCUACAAUUCAUAUAAGGUAAUUCCUCUUCAAGACUGCAAGUGGGUUUCCCCCCUCCAACCUGUGAUGGUAGGACGACGUCCCCAUGUAUGGAUUAACAGCAACUGCCCAAAACCGUUAAGACAAACUGUUGAACUGCAGCUAAAAAUCUCAGGAAAAGUCCAAGGUAGAGUUGGCAGACAAGGCUUUGUAUAUGGGACACUCUCGAUGUAGUCAGAGGAGCAUGAGGAAUGCACAGACUGACAUUUAAGUCAUGAGCUGGCGACUUGUAACCUAUGGAAACCUGGAAUUAGUCAUGCCUUCUGGGUGACAGGUGCUAAACUAGUAAGACACUACAUUACAUUAAUGUACACUAUGUGUUAGUGUUUUGGGAACAAAAUAAAGAGGGGAGUCCUGGAGGGGGGGCCUGGGGAGAAGUGGGAUAGGAAAAAGAUGCUCACACCCCGCCAGAGUUUCCCUAUUCUCUGGUCAGUCAGGUGUAGGAGGGCUGCUAUCUACCCUAUCCACUCACCCCUGGGUGGCCAUUCCUCUAUCCCACUCUUCAGGGGGUGGUCAAGGGGAAGCCCUGCCUGCGGACAACCCCCCAGCUACUUUGCUAAAGCCACCAGGUUUGUGGAAGAGAGGGAAGAGGGAAGAAGUUCCC